AGAGAGUGAGAAAUAGUGAAAAGAGAGAUAAGUGAUAAGAGCGAAAGACCAAAUGACAAUAGAGAAAGAAAUAGGAAAAUACAGAGUGAAAGAGAAAAAGAGGAAGAGAGAGAGAGAGAGAAGAGGGGAAAAAGAGAGAGAGUGAGAGAAGGAGCAAUCAGUGAGUGAGUGAGUGAGUGAGUGAGCUAACGGAUGUACUACUAAAAGCCGAUGCGAGCCUUUAGAGAGAUUAGCUGAAAACCACCCUAGCCGGGAAGAAAGGGAGUUAGGGAGAGAGACGUCAUACAUGUCCAUAUAUGACAUUGUUGCAUUAUUAUUAUUAUAUACACUUAAGACCAGUGUAAACUAAAAAAAAAAAAUUUAAUAAAAAAUAAACAAAAAAUUUAUCCGAACCAUUUUGCCGGAAUUCUACCGCAAUGGAGGAAGUAGCAGCUAUGAAACCGUACAUGUCUUCGCCAGACCAAGUAUCAUUGUCGAGACGGUCGAGUGGAAAAUCCACCAGGGUUUCGCCCUCAACAAAACUCGCACGAGCCGCUGCAAAAAAGGUACGGAUUAUGUAUGCACAGACACACACAUACUUGCACACAAACAAGCACAUACACACACACACAUGUACAUAUAUACCGGCAUGCACAUAAACACAUACGUGUGCACUCAUAGGUACACACAAAUAUACAUGCACAUGCACAUACACAUAUAUACACACACACAAAAUCACAAACGCAAACACACGUGUCAGUAUAUACAAACAUAUAUACGGAUACUUGUGACCACAAGUAUACAGACACCAAUAUAUAGAAACGCGCGCGCGCACACAUACAUCGAUACGCAUUCAAACACACACACAUACGCAUACAUGUGUGUGUGUACAUAUAUAUAUCGAUGUAUCUAUAUCUAUAUAUAUGCAUGUAUGUGAAUUACUGUCCACAUACAUGCAUACACAGAGGGUGUCAUUGACAAAAAAAUUUAUAUAUAUAUGUAUGUGUGUGUGUGUAUAUAUAUAUAUAUACAUAUGUGUCUGUGCACGUAUAUAUAUAUAUACACAUAUAUUGAUAUACACGGUCAUACAUUCACAUACAUACACAUGUGCAUACAAGCUUGCACUGAAAAAGCAUGCAUGCAUGCAUACGUACAUACACAUGUGCAUAUAUACAUGCAUGUAUAUAUACUUAAACGUACAGAGAUACAUACAUACACGCAUGCAUACAUACACACAUACAUAUAUACUUACGCUCAUAGAUACAUGCAUACAUACAUAAAAACAUACAUACAUACAUUCAUACAGUGAGACCUGCCCGGUCCGAUUAGAAGUAUUAUCUGUAAGAAGAACAUUAAAAAUAUACAAGAGUUUUUUAAAGUUAUAAAUAUCAUUCUUCACUCAGCUUGUUUUCCAAAUCCAAGGAAUGGAGAAUUUUGUCUAUCUUAGGCCACCACCAUCUUACUAGAAAUAAAAUAAUUGAUAAAAAUUAUUAGAUAACAAUUAUAUAGACAUACAUAUAUACUCAUAAACAGAUAAUUAAACCAUUCAUGUGUGCAUGUAUAUGUAUGUCAUAUAUAUAUAUAUAUACAUAUAUAUGUGUGUGUGUGUAUGAGUGUACAGACAUAUAAAUAUGUACUUAUGUAUACACACACAUAUAUAAAGGCGGUGCUUCAGCAUGGCCGCAGUCAAAUGACUGAAAUAAGUAAACGGAUAAAACAAUAUAAAUAUAUGCAUGCAUGCACAUACAUAUAUAUAUAUACAAACAUGCAUAUAAACAUACAUACAUACAUACAUAUAUAUAUAUAUAUAUAUAUAUACAUAUAUAUAUAUAUAUACAUACACAUUUAUACAUAUAUAUGUAUCUAUAUAUAUAUACAUAUAUACAUAUAUAUGUAUGUAUGUAUGUAUCACAUGAUCAUACAUAAAUUCAUAUAUACAUAGGAGCAGCAGGCAUACGUGCAUAGAUAACGAAGUAUAUGUAUGUAUAUAUACAUGAAUCUUGACCGGCAAGAAUUCCGCGGAAAUCACCAAGAAAUACGUGGAUACUUACAAGCUUUAUGUAGAUACAAUUAUACAUACACGCACACACACACACACAGGUAAAUAAACACGUAUAUAUUAUUACAAAAUAUACGCACCUGCAUAUCUACAACGUGUGCAUUCAUACAUUUACAUAGACGCUGACGUAUACUUAUUGGAACCGGCACACAUAUAUAGAUGCAUGCAUGCAUUCGAUCACAGACUCGCAUGUAUUCUUACACAUAUAUGGACUCACAAAUAAACACACACACAUACAUAUAUACAUACAUACGUAUGCAUAAAUCCUGAGAUAAAAUCCACCUGCAUGCCAAAUAUAUACGCACACAUGAACGUAUAUCCAUUCAAUCCAUUCACAGGAACAGUUAAGCCUAUAUGUAUAGAUACAAACCGGCAAAAUUUAUAUACACACAUACAUGCUGCACGAAUGCCUUCUUAGACACACACACACACACACAUACACACACAUGCAUAUAUGCACAAAAGCUAUACUUAGAUAUAUAUUCAAUUGCGCUUAAAUAUACACAGAUGUGCAAACGUACACACACACACACACAUACACACACACACACACACACACAUAUAUAUAUGUACACACACGUAAAUGAAUAAGAACCAAAACAUAUAUAUAUACAUAUACGUACGCACAUACACUUAGAUGUGUAUAUAUAAAUAUUUAUAUAUAUGUGUGUGUGUAGAUAUAUAUAUGCCUACAUAUUUGUAUACGUGUGUGUGCAUAUAUAUAUACAUAUAUAUAUCUACACUCACACACACACACACACAUAUAUAUAUAUACAUACAUUCAUACACACAUAUGUGUACACAUAACACUUUCAUUAGACAUACUUUAUUAAAUCUCUUUAUUUUAUAAAUAUUUAAACACCUUUUUAAAAAUAAUUUCUUGAAUUGUAACAUUUUAUGUUUUUGUAUUGUUGUUUUCGCCGUGUUGUUGUUGAUUAAACUGUCGUUGAUUCGUUACUUUCAUUACUGGCCAGCCACCGGUCAAGCACUAAUCAACAGAUCUUUAUGGGCAAAUUACGUUCCAACUGUGACCAACUGUAGUGAAGCUUAACGUGUUUAAGUGAACCAGCUUCUAUAUAACCUAAGUGAACUGGAGACGUUUGUAUGUGAUUUGAGACAGGUUUGGUUGUAAUUUCAAGCAUAUCGUGUGACCUCAUACAGGCUCACUUGCGGACUAGUUGAGUGUUUGGUUCAUUAGUUAGUGAUUUCGUCCGACCCGGCUAAGUAGCGGUUUAGCAAACAUACGAUGGAAGGCGUUCCAAAAGUGACCAUUACAUCUUUUAAAGUCCCCCUUUUUUUCUGUACAUUAUAGAAUGUGUCCUUGUAAAAAUACAAAACAAUAAAAUUUGAAUUAAAGAUGAUUUAACUGCUAUUUCAUGUAGACAACGGGCUCCACUACUGUACGUGUUUAGUUGUUGUUGUUCAUGUUGAUGUUGUUGUUUCUGUAGUUAUUUAUCUCCAAGGCAACCCUGACUGAAAGGAGCUUUGAUCAAACACUUCAAAACAUGUUUUUAAUGAAUUUAUUUAAAAAACAAGAGAACAUUAUUAUUAUUAUUAUUAUUAUUAUUAUUAUUAUUAUUAUUAUUAUUAAAAUUAAAUAAAUCAUUAUCAAUAAAAGAAAUCAUUAUCGCCAUCGUCAACAUCUUCCUCACCAUCAUUCAUCCUCAUCAUCAUCAUAAUCAUCGUCAUUAUUACAACCAUCACAUCAUCAUCGUUAUCUUCGUCCUCACCAUUGUCGUCAUCGUCGAGGUCAACGUCAUCAUCAUCAUCGUCAUCAUCACCAUCGUCGUCAUCAUGACCGUUGUCGUCGUCGUCAUCAUCAUCAUCACUACCACAACCGACCCCUCCCCCUCCAACCACCAUCAUCAUGGUCAUCAUCAUCAUCAUCAUCAUCAUUAUUAUCAUCAUAAUCGUUAUUAUUAAUAUUAUCAUUAAUACAUGUGGCAGUAUGUUGCACGAGGCAUCUUCCUACAGGUCAACGACCAACGGCUACGUACGGACACGGACACACAUAUACACACACAAACACACACACAUAUAUACGCACGCAUACAUACAUGCACCCGUCCACACAUGCGCGGCCUCGCGGCAGUUCUUAUUGUCAGCAUCCUUGGUCAGUAUCGAUAAAGCAUAUUUGUAAACUAAAUCACAUCCAGCGCCGAUCAUCACGGCAAAAAUAUAUCUCGCUUCACACUUAGGUACGGUGCAAUUCGACAAACAUUUCGCUGCUAUUUCUAGCGGAUCGAACGACCACGUAGAUUUUUGCCACGUUUGGCUCGUUGAUUCUCUAUAGGUUGGUGGCCUGUUAGCUUCUUGUUGCUGUAGGUUUUCAGGGUUGUCGUCAUCAGCGGGAACGCUAUUGUUGUCGUUGUUGUUCUUAUUGUUUUUAUCUAUAUUGUUGCUCUCCUCUAUUGUUUUCUCGUCUUCUUUUCGCCGGUUAACGUUUUUCUUAACUUUCUGUGGGUUAAGAGGACAGAACCGACCCAGCAUAUGGCUACACUUUGCUAGAUGAAAUGAAAACAGAAAAAUGGAAAUGAAAAUAAAAUCAAUACUGUCACACGCAUGCUUAUACAUACAUACAUACAUACACACACACACACAUUUUUGUGUGUAUCUGAAUUUACUCACUUAUCUAUCUAUCUAUCUAUCUAUCUAUCUAUCUAUCUAUCUAUCUAUCUAUCUAUCCAUCCAUCCAUCCAUCCAUCCAUCCAUCCAUCCAUCCAUCCAUCCAUCCAUCCAUCUAUCUAUCUAUCUAUCUGCCUCUCUCUAUCUCUAUCUAUCUAUCUAUCUAUCUAUCUAUCUAUCUAUCUAUCUAUCUAUCUAUCUAUCUAUCUAUCUAUCUAUCUGCCUCUUUCUAUCUAUCUAUCUAUCUAUCUAUCUGCCUCUUUCUAUCUAUCUAUCUAUCUAUCUAUCUAUCUAUCUAUCUAUCUAUCUAUCUAUCUGCCUCUUUCUAUCUAUCUAU
rnacentral:lncRNA from 1 species